rnacentral:sRNA from 1 species
AAAAUUGAAAAAAAAA